rnacentral:tRNA from 1 species
UAAAAAGUAAGCUAAAUUUAAGCUAAUGGGCUCAUACCUCAUCUAUAGAUCAAUUCUCUUUUUAA